rnacentral:rRNA from 1 species
GAUGAACGCUGGCGGCGUGCCUAAUACAUGCAAGUCGAGCGAGCGGACGAGAAGCUUGCUUCUCUGAUGUUAGCGGCGGACGGGUGAGUAACACGUGGAUAACCUACCUAUAAGACUGGGAUAACUUCGGGAAACCGGAGCUAAUACCGGAUAAUAUUUUGAACCGCAUGGUUCAAAAGUGAAAGACGGUCUUGCUGUCACUUAUAGAUGGAUCCGCGCUGCAUUAGCUAGUUGGUAAGGUAACGGUUUACCAAGGCAACGAUGCAUAGCCGACCUGAGAGGGUGAUCGGCCACACUGGAACUGAGACACGGUCCAGACUCCUACGGGAGGCAGCAGUAGGGAAUCUUCCGCAAUGGGCGAAAGCCUGACGGAGCAACGCCGCGUGAGUGAUGAAGGUCUUCGGAUCGUAAAACUCUGUUAUUAGGGAAGAACAUAUGUGUAAGUAACUGUGCACAUCUUGACGGUACCUAAUCAGAAAGCCACGGCUAACUACGUGCCAGCAGCCGCGGUAAUACGUAGGUGGCAAGCGUUAUCCGGAAUUAUUGGGCGUAAAGCGCGCGUAGGCGGUUUUUUAAGUCUGAUGUGAAAGCCCACGGCUCAACCGUGGAGGGUCAUUGGAAACUGGAAAACUUGAGUGCAGAAGAGGAAAGUGGAAUUCCAUGUGUAGCGGUGAAAUGCGCAGAGAUAUGGAGGAACACCAGUGGCGAAGGCGACUUUCUGGUCUGUAACUGACGCUGAUGUGCGAAAGCGUGGGGAUCAAACAGGAUUAGAUACCCUGGUAGUCCACGCCGUAAACGAUGAGUGCUAAGUGUUAGGGGGUUUCCGCCCCUUAGUGCUGCAGCUAACGCAUUAAGCACUCCGCCUGGGGAGUACGACCGCAAGGUUGAAACUCAAAGGAAUUGACGGGGACCCGCACAAGCGGUGGAGCAUGUGGUUUAAUUCGAAGCAACGCGAAGAACCUUACCAAAUCUUGACAUCCUUUGACAACUCUAGAGAUAGAGCUUUCCCCUUCGGGGGACAAAGUGACAGGUGGUGCAUGGUUGUCGUCAGCUCGUGUCGUGAGAUGUUGGGUUAAGUCCCGCAACGAGCGCAACCCUUAAGCUUAGUUGCCAUCAUUAAGUUGGGCACUCUAAGUUGACUGCCGGUGACAAACCGGAGGAAGGUGGGGAUGACGUCAAAUCAUCAUGCCCCUUAUGAUUUGGGCUACACACGUGCUACAAUGGACAAUACAAAGGGCAGCGAAACCGCGAGGUCAAGCAAAUCCCAUAAAGUUGUUCUCAGUUCGGAUUGUAGUCUGCAACUCGACUACAUGAAGCUGGAAUCGCUAGUAAUCGUAGAUCAGCAUGCUACGGUGAAUACGUUCCCGGGUCU